rnacentral:rRNA from 1 species
UGGGGAAUAUUGCGCAAUGGGCGAAAGCCUGACGCAGCGACGCCGCGUGCGGGAUGAAGGCCUUCGGGUUGUAAACCGCUUUCAGCAGGGACGAAGCGAAAGUGACGGUACCUGCAGAAGAAGCGCCGGCUAACUACGUGCCAGCAGCCGCGGUAACACGUAGGGCGCAAGCGUUGUCCGGAAUUAUUGGGCGUAAAGAGCUCGUAGGUGGUCCGCUGCGUCCGCUGUGAAAAUCCAGGGCUUAACCCUGGACUUGCAGUGGAUACGGGCGAACUAGAGGUAGGUAGGGGAGAAUGGAAUUCCCGGUGUAGCGGUGAAAUGCGCAGAUAUCGGGAGGAACACCGGUGGCGAAGGCGGUUCUCUGGGCCUUACCUGACACUGAGGAGCGAAAGCGUGGGGAGCGAACAGGAUUAGAUACCCUGGUAGUCCACGCCGUAAACGUUGGGCGCUAGGUGUAGGGUCCUUCCACGGAUUCCGUGCCGCAGCUAACGCAUUAAGCGCCCCGCCUGGGGAGUACGGCCGCAAGGC